GAUCCUGGCUCAGAUUGAACGCUGGCGGCAGGCUUAACACAUGCAAGUCGAACGGUAACAUAAAGAAGCUUGCUUCUUUGAUGACGAGUGGCGGACGGGUGAGUAAUGCUUGGGAAUCUAGCUUAUGGAGGGGGAUAACUACGGGAAACUGUAGCUAAUACCGCGUAGUAUCGGAAGAUGAAAGUGUGGGACCUUCGGGCCACAUGCCAUAGGAUGAGCCCAAGUGGGAUUAGGUAGUUGGUGAGG
rnacentral:rRNA from 1 species